AUGAUGUCCAGUCUCGCCUCUCUCCCGACUCUCCACACUAACCCUAAUUACACUGCAACACCAACUAGUUGUCCCCCCUCUACCUCGCAGCUAACCCUAGCCAAAGCACCCGCCCCCUCUUGCCUCUCCCUCUCCCGUCUCCUUAGACUUAGAAAAUAGAAACAUAGAGAUCCAAAACAGUUUCUCUUAAUCCUUUUCGUUCAGUUUGUGUUUCCAUUGUUUGAAACCAUUCAAGCUUCUCAAAAAUAGAUCGACGUUCCUCUUCAUCUACGCAAGAUCACAGGGUCAAAGAAUAGACAUACGAUUGCUGUUUUGAUUUGGUUGAAUGCUCGAAAAUCAAUUUAUAAGAAACCUUCUCCCACUCGGUUCCUUUUGCGAGAAAUGAAGGAGUCGUUAACCUCUCCAAAUUUAAUGAAGGAUCUUCUUAGGGGUUGAUACUGAAGCUAGCAAGGAAAUCUUUCAAAGUAUAUCUUCACAGAUUCAAAACGUGGUUAUGAUUGGUAUUGGUAGGUGAAAUCUGAUCUUUUUGUGAAGGUCGGAGUCUAGGGUCUUAGAUAGGGGUGGUAAAGUGGUGGUGCUGAGGAUAAGGGUUUGAAAGAAGUUGCUGCUCCUGGGAAGGUCUGGUACAAGCUGCUGCAGCUGGCGUGGGAGGGGCUGUUGCCUAAUGAUAACAGGAAUUUUAGUGAGUAUGCUCAUUCACGAACAUGUUUUGAAAUGAUAGAGGUUGUUUUGCAGAUCGGGGCAGUGGAAUGAACUGGUUUUCUGGUGUAGAUCGGUGGUGGGAUCCGCUAGUUUUCUUUUUUGGCAGACCGGGUCAAGAGACGAUUCAUCUCUAAAUUACGGCUUAUAUAUCAACAAAUUAUUCAGUAGGAUCCGAUUCAUUAGUCGAAAAAAAUAUUGUUACCAUAUGCUACCUAAUUAUCAUUACCAAACACAAGAAAUCAACCAUCUCAUGCUCACCUACUUCAUCAUCUCAUUCAUCUUUGGUUCCUUUGAUCACGUAAGCUCUUAAGAUGU